UUGGAGUUGGUGGGGAGGCUCACACCUUUAAUCCCAGCACUCAGGAGGCAGCGUGGACCUCUGUGAUUCUGAAGUCAGUCUGCUCCUCUGACUUUGUAACGUAACAAAUUCCAGGCCUGCCAGUGCUAUAUGCAAUGAGAGUCCAUCUCAAAAAUAGGAGCUAAGUAACUGGAAAGAGAACUCAGUGUGUAAGAGCACUUGCUACAUAAACACAAGUGUCUGAGUUCAAAAUUCAAGCACCCACAUGAAUCCCUAGUACCCCUAAGUGCCGUGGUGGGGUAGACAGGCUACUGGGACUUCCUAGCACUUCGUGCAGUGAGAGACCAUGUCUCAAGGGAAUGAGGCAGAAAGAGGUAUGUGAUGCACCAGAAGAAAAAGAAGUGAGUUGGUAUGCAGAGGACCCCACUCCCAGCUUUCCCUCCCCAUCCCUGGAAGCUGAAGAUCUGCUGGCUUCCUAUGUUGGUGACAGUUCAGCCAGUUAGCCCCUCCUCUGCCCAGCUCCAUCAUUUCCUUAAUCACACUCUGAUCCACUUCGGCCUUAUCCUAGUGAGCCUAGCCCAGCUCCAAUCUUCCACACUCUCCACGGGAAGCCUCUGCAUUUACAUAGCUAUUCCCAAGAUUGGUGCAAAAGAGGCCAGAUGACCAUCAAACUGCUCCUCACUUCCUCUCACCAAGAAAACCCUGAAGCAAGCAGUAUUUUGACAUAUUUACUUUAUUUCUUUUUUAAGACAGGGUCUCAGCUGUCCUGGAAUUUGCUAUGUAGGCCAGGCUGGCCUCAUCCUCACAGAGAUCCACUUUCUGGGAUCAGCCAUCUGUGCCACUGUGCACUGCCAGACAUUUUUACUCUUGUCCCACCCCAACUUUAAUUUUGCUCGUCACCCCAGCACCUUCUAAGGAAUUCUGGGCCCACCUGUGAAUGUCUUCUGUGUCUUGGAACUUAACAAGGAUGAUAGUAGCUGAUGCUUACUGAGAAUUUCCUAUUUCCUAUGAACCAAGCAUGUGGUAUACAUAAUCUCAUUUAAACUUCCAAUAAACAGUACCCUAAGCAAUAGAUGAACAGAUGGGGCUUCAGGAGGGUAGUGCACGUGUGUGUGUGUGUGUGUGUGUGUAUCUACAUGUGUGCAAGCGUGCUACAAUUGUAAGAACACAAACUGUUGUACUUUGUACUUUAAGUCAACAUUUUGCUUCAGCGUUGAAAAUUUUCUUUUAUACAUUAUAUGGAAGGCAUACAUACAUGUGGAAGCCAAAGAAUUGCCUUUGGGAGUCAGAUCUCCUGCCAUAGGUUCCAAGGAUCGGAUUCACGUCAUCAGGGUGGUUUUACCUACUAAGCUGUCUUGCCAGCUUAGCUAUCUGUUUGUCUCUAUCGCCCAGUCUCUUUUAGAUUUAUUUGUAUUAGUUAUGUGUUUGUGUGCAUGUGUGUUCGUAUACAUAGAACUGUAGAAGCCAGACGAGGAGCAUCAGAUCCCUCAGAGCUGGAGUUGCUGGUGUUUGUGAGCUGGGACCCAAACUCUGGUCCUCAAAAUAAGCAGCGAGUGCUGUUAACCGCUAACCCAUCUCUCUACACCAACACCCCACGCCUAGGCGAUUCCGUCUCCAUAUUUUACUUAUGCUUAUGUGAUGAGUACUUUAUUGACUGAGCUAUCUCCCCAGACUCUGAAUCUUUUAUUUUUGAAUAAAACUUAUUCUUGACAUAGUAAAAA
rnacentral:lncRNA from 1 species